GGGGAAUAUUGCACAAUGGGCGCAAGCCUGAUGCAGCGACGCCGCGUGGGGGAUGACGGCCUUCGGGUUGUAAACUCCUUUCGCCAGGGACGAAGCGUUUUGUGACGGUACCUGGAGAAGAAGCACCGGCUAACUACGUGCCAGCAGCCGCGGUAAUACGUAGGGUGCAAGCGUUGUCCGGAAUUACUGGGCGUAAAGAGCUCGUAGGUGGUUUGUCACGUCGUCUGUGAAAUUCCACAGCUUAACUGUGGGCGUGCAGGCGAUACGGGCUGACUUGAGUACUGUAGGGGUAACUGGAAUUCCUGGUGUAGCGGUGAAAUGCGCAGAUAUCAGGAGGAACACCGAUGGCGAAGGCAGGUUACUGGGCAGUUACUGACGCUGAGGAGCGAAAGCAUGGGUAGCAAACAGGAUUAGAUACCCUGGUAGUCCAUGCCGUAAACGGUGGGCGCUAGGUGUAGGGAUCUUUUGGGGUUUCUGUGCCGUAGCUAACGCAUUAAGCGCCCCGCCUGGGGAGUACGGCCGCAAGGCUA
rnacentral:rRNA from 1 species